rnacentral:rRNA from 1 species
AAGGGCACCACAAGAACGCGUGGAGCAUGUGGCUUAAUUUGACUCAACACGGGAAAUCUUACCCGGUCCAGACAUAUUGAGGAUUGACAGGUGUUAAUAUAAUACACAGUAACAUAUGUUACUGUAAUAUUAUAUGUUAAAUAAGAUAGUCCUUUCAUGAUUAUAUGAUAGGUGGUGCAUGGCCGUUCUUAGUUCGUGAUAUGAAUUGUCUACUUAAUUGUGUUAAUCUAAUAUAAUAAUAUAUUAUAUUAAUAGUUAAUACUUAAUAUUAUAGUAUUAAGUUAAUGUUCUGCUUAACAGUUUAUGUUAAGAUUAUUAAGUGAACUUACUUACUUAUUAUUACUGUUAGUUUAAUUAUUAUAUAAUAUAACUUAAUAAUGAUAAGCAACGAACGAGACUUAUAAAUAUUCUUACUAAUAAGAUUAUUACUGUUACAGUAAUAAUUAAUAUUAGAUUAAUUAUAUAUUGAUCGCUAUCUUAAUAAUAGUAUAUAAAUAGUAUAAAGUAUAAGCAAUAACAGGUCUGUGAUGCCCUUAGAUGUUCUGGGCUGCACACGUGCUACAAUAAAUAUUAUAUUAAGUAUAUAAUAUUACAGUGUUAAUAUUAUUAACAUAUGUUAAUAAUAAUAUAACACACAUAACCUAUUUCGAAAGUAAAUGGGUAAUCUAUUAUUAAUAAUAUAUUACUCACUUAAUAAUUAACUUAAUAUAAGUUACUUAUUAUAUAAUUAACUUAUGGUUGGGAUAGUGUAUUGUUAAUUAUUACACUUAGCUUUAACUAGGAAUGCCUUGUAAAGUUCUAUGGUUUAUUAAACCAACUUGAAUACGUCCCUGCCCUUUGUACACACCGCCCGUCGCUCUUACCGAUGAAUUAUAUUAUAAAUCUAAGGGACUAAGUUAAUAUAUGUUAAUAUAUAUUAAUAGGAAACUUAUAUACAUAAUGUGAUUUAAANGNAAGAGAAGUCGAACAAGGCA